CUUCUGCCUCACUGAGCCAGCCAGGUCCGCCAUCCCCUGAGCCGACUCCCACAGCCAUGGGCCAUGUCCAGGGUUCCCUGGGACAGAGGGCUGUUAUCAGGAGUGGCUGACCUCAUUCUGUCCCCACCUGAGGCCUCACAGAGACUUGAAGCUGCUCUCUGGCCACUUCUCUUAUCUCUGCCUAAUUUUUGUUUCCCAACGAGAUAAGUACCCGCCAGCCUAUGUCACCCUGGUGUUUGUUACUGACAGCCCCCUUGGCCCUCGGGACACAUACGGGCAUCCAGGCACCUUUCAGAACAUGCGGGUUGCGCACGGUGGGUCUCCAUCUUCAGAUUAGGAGCUGGAGGCUCCGUGGGGGGCAUCACAUAGCUAGAUGGGGACAGGGCUGGGUAGGACUCAAGUUGAGGUCUUGUGAUCAGGCUGUGCCUAAUGCUGCCUCCCUUCACAGGGGAACCUGGAAUGGUCAUCCAGAGACAGGAUCUUGCUGAGUUGCUCAGGGCCUGUCUGACUUGCUGAGGCUGGCCUCCACCUUGCGAUCCUCCUGCCUCAGCCUCCCAGGCUGCUGGGAUGACAGGUGUGCACCACAGCACCCAGCUUUAAAGAAAAUUUUACUGGAAUGUGCCAUGUGCUUAUAGUCUACAUUGAGAGGCACUUUCAUGUUGCAGCAGCAGCAGCGUGGGGGUGGGACAAGCUGUACCUUGCCAAGCUGACCCUGUAUAUCGUCUG
rnacentral:lncRNA from 1 species